rnacentral:sRNA from 1 species
GCCAGGCAUGGUAGUGUGUGCCUGUAAUCCCAGCAACUCUGGAGGUUGAGACAGGAAGAUCGCAAGUUCAAGGCCAGUUUCAUCAACUUAGUGAGACCCUGUCUAAA